rnacentral:rRNA from 1 species
UACGGAGGGGGCAAGCGUUAUUCGGAAUUAUUGGGCGUAAAGGGCGCGUAGGCGGCUAGAUGUGUCAAAGGUGAAAUCCCUCGGCUCAACUGAGGAACUGCCUUUGAAACUGUCUGGCUUGAGGCCGGGAGAGGGUAGCGGAAUUCCCAGUGUAGCGGUGAAAUGCGUAGAUAUUGGGAGGAACACCAAUUGCGAAGGCAGCUCGCUGGGACGUUACUGACGCUGAGACGCGAAAGCGUGGGGAGCAAACAGG